UACGUAGGGGGCUAGCGUUAUCCGGAAUUACUGGGCGUAAAGGGUGCGUAGGCGGUCUUUCAAGCCAGAAGUGAAAGGCUACGGCUCAACCGUAGUAAGCUUUUGGAACUGUAAGACUUGAGUGCAGGAGAGGAGAGUGGAAUCCCUAGUGUAGCGGUGAAAUGCGUAGAUAUUAGGAGGAACACCAGUAGCGAAGGCGGCUCUCUGGACUGUAACUGAUGCUGAGGCACGAAAGCGUGGGGAGCAAACAGGAUUAGAUACCCCCCGUAGUCCCUGA
rnacentral:rRNA from 1 species